UAUGAACAAAUUAAUAAUAAAAAUGUAGAAAAUUAAUUUCACUGAAUGUAAAAGUCCCAGAAACAUGAUGAACUGAUGUGUAAUAUUUGAUCCAGUAAAACUGGUUUAUAGAGUCCAAACCAGCAGAACCAGAACAUGUUAUUAUGACGUGUUGUUAGAAUAUUUCAGUCGGGCCUUCAGUGGUUCUGGUCGGGUAUUAAAAUGGACUUUAAGAACCAAAGUGUGACAUUAGAGCUGUUAAUGAAUGCUGCAGUGACUAAAUGGAAGCAGCUCAUUUCCACAGUGACCUUUGACCUUCUAUUGAGUGGAACUGACUGAUUUAUCUGGAGGAUCAACAGCUGCAAUAAUUACACUUCACUCAUUCAUAAACACAUGAACACAUGAGUGAAAACAGAACUGAUUCUACCUGUUAUAUUGUUACACAGGAUGCUGCAUCACAACCAAUCUGAUAUCAAUGUUGUUACCAUGGAAGCAAGAACUAAUUCAGAACAAACAUCAGAUUUCUUCCACCAAACAUUCCAGCUUUACCAUCUACCAUCACAGCAGGGCUCAGAGAACAACUGAGAAGGCCUUUGGCAUAUUGUCAUCUAGAUGGCGGAUCUUGAGCCACCCGAUUGAAUAUAAUCCAUCAAAGAUAGUCCAUGUCGUUAAAGCAUGUGCAGCGCUCCACAACCGGUUGGCCUACACUGAUGAUUGUAGACAGUACAUCCCCACAAACUAUACUGACACUUAUACUCCAUCAGGCGACUUCAUGGCAGGUUAUUAGAGUCACAUGCAAUGUACAGAGUUUAUAGCAUAUCUCUAAAACACACCCAGCCAUUAUAACAUUUGCUUUUUUUGUUUCACACUACUAUAGGAGAAUGGAGACGAGUUGUAGGAAAUGAUCUACAAUCUUCAUUAAGAAGAACAAGCACCACAAGGAAUACGGGAAGAACAACGUAUGCAGUGAAGAACAACCUGCAGGAUUUCUUCUCAUUACCAUAUGGCCUUGUGCCUUGGCAACCAGCCACAAUAAGAAGAGGCAGGGUGUUUGUGUGAUUUACUUUCAAUAAAUUUAGAUUCAAUUUAUAUAUUUUUUAUCUUUCUAUUAUAAUAAACAUUUGGAUUUCUAACAAUUUGUCUGUCUUGUAAAACAAAAAAAUAUAUGUAUUUUCAUGGGGCUGUUAAGUGCCGGUUUUUUAAAAUCUUUUUGUGGGUUCUUUUAUUUGCCUGCUGCUUUAUUGUUUACGCACCAGAGGGCGCCAGAGACCAUCGCCAUGGUUAGGCGUGUCCACGCUGCAGCGCACCUGUGUUGCAUCAGAUCGUCAUCUCCAGGAUUCAAAAGGAGCAGACUGCCAGCACUUCAUCGCCUGAGUGUUUUGUCAGGAAUGGUGCUUCCUCGUGACUUCCUGAGAAGACUCCGUUCUGGUUUCUUGGAUUUCCCUCCCUCGUGGAUAAUACCCACUGGUUGUCCGAGCUCCACCCUCACCCUCUCCGUCUGAUCCCAAGCAGACUCUUGAUAUCUCCAGCUGGCAGUCGGACCGCUUCUCCGUUUUUCCCACCACGCUCGAACUUACCUGUCCGCCCUCCAACGCAGUAUCCACGACUGGGUUCGAACCUUUCCUCUACCAUCUCUUUAGGACCUGGAUUUCUGUAAGGACCCACACUAGGAGACCUAAGCCCCGAACCUGCAGAGUUACCCCUCCUGGACGGACAAAGCCUCUACAACAAGUGUGGUUGGUGUCUGUGAAAUGAACUCUGUGAUUUGUUGAAUGUUAUGAUGGGAAGAUGAACUGCUUGUGCUUUUAUAAAACAAAGAAACUUUAACUGGACCAAACCAUAGAAGAAGAAAGCAGACUUUACUAUGAAGAUCCUCAGAAUGGAUCAGUAGAAUAUCAGCCGUCUGUCUGCAGGAUUCUGUAGAAAACCACAGAGAUCCUUCACUCCAGAAUCUUUAAUGGCAUUGAAGCUCAGGUCCAAUCCAGUCAGAUGGGAGGGGUUG